CUCUGGUUGCCGUGGAGCAGCACAACAGAGUGUUUAGAGCACAGAUUCUAGAACCACACUGCUUGGGUGCAAAUCCAAGGUCUCCUGCUUAUUGUCUUGGGCAAGUUAUUUAACUCCUCCAUGCCUCAGUUUCCUUGGCUAUAUUAUGAGAUCAAGAACAGUACCUAUUUCACAGGAUUGCGAUGAGGAUUAAUGAAAUGGUAUUUAUUCAUAAUUGGCUCGAGUGCAACGUUACAGUCUCCAAGGAGGCUGCCUGCCCUCUUGGCAGCAGGGUGAGUGCCAUGAUGCAGCUGCUGUUGGCAUGCUGAGAGCUGGAAGGGGAGAAACUAUAAGGCAAAACAAGAAGGGGCUGCAAAGAUUCAUGAGGUUCAAUCUGUAAAAUCUUCUCAGAGCUUCCGAAAAAAACAGUCCAAGAAUACAAGGCACAUAACACUUUUCAGUAAAGACUUAGAAAAAUGAAGUCACUUCCCUGGAGCAACAGAAGGUUAGUGGCAUCCUGUGAACCUCACUCCUGGGUAUUUGAAAGCAAGGAAAUGCAGGUUUGAGAACAGACUACAUUUUUCCUGGAACAGAAGCCUCCCAAACCACCAUGAAAUCUAUUAAGGGGUGCCAAUUUUGCAAACCUGCUAACAAUUUGGAGACUUCCCGACUAAAGUAUGACUAUUGUAUUAAUAUGAGCAUCACCUAUAUUUGGCAUCUUUUCAAACCUCCUGCUUUUUAAGGCAACCCAUGCCUCGGAUAAGUAGAGAUAAAAUAAGUUGUCCUAUGAAAGCAAAAUAUUGAAGCAUUAAAAUUUAGAAACCAACCUUAACCAAAACAGUCACAGAACCUAUUAGAAGAAUAUGAAACCAGGUAUAAAACACAUCUCACACAUUCAAUUUUCACGCAAAGAAGGUAGCUAUAUGCUAAAGGAUAUUUCUAGGAAACGAGUUACAGUAAGAAGAGGUAAUGUCAAGCUCUGGCUGUCUAUGCCUUUAAAUUCUAACAUCUAUAA